rnacentral:lncRNA from 1 species
UUUUUUUUGAAAUUAUUGAAUCUUGCUCAUGCAAAUAUUAUUAGUUUUAGAAUUAGUAUUAUAGCACUAUUAUCACGGACACUAUAUUUGAGAUUUAUUAACGUUGAAAAACUUACUAAAUCACGAAAAAUAUUACUAUUUAUUUAAUAACAUUGGAACAAACAUUAUACCAUUUGUUGUCUCUAGCAACACUUUCUUGAGGAACGUGUAAAAUUGUCCCCUAAAAGUCUCUAAGGCAAUGAUUUACGAGUGUUGCCAAAAAAAAAUUCGCAACCCCUGAUAAACGUCCCCUAAAAUACUUUUGGGGAUGAUUUUGGAGCAUUGCACUCUUAUUUCGUUGUUGACAAUCAUUAAUUGUCUCCUUAGAUAUUUUUGGGGACAAUUUUAGAUUGUUGCAUAAAAAUUUCACCAACAUCAAAUUUUGUGGCACCUCCAAACUUGUUUACCAAAAAACAAAUUUCCCCUCCAUGAAAAUUGGCAUAACAGGAAGUUGAACAUACAAUCGGUAGGAGUUAGGACAAACAAGGAUUCCUCUAGCCAACACACCACGUACAUUUUUGUGGUAAAAUUUACUUUUUCUCUAUUAUAUUUAAAUAUUCC